rnacentral:tRNA from 1 species
UCCCGAUGGCUCAAAUGGUAAAGAAUCUGCCUACCAGGCAGGAGACCUGGGUUCAACCCCUGGAUUGGGAA